rnacentral:rRNA from 1 species
AUUGAACGCUGGCGGCAGGCCUAACACAUGCAAGUCGAGCGGAUGAGUGGAGCUUGCUCCAUGAAUCAGCGGCGGACGGGUGAGUAAUGCCUAGGAAUCUGCCUGGUAGUGGGGGACAACGUUUCGAGAGGAACGCUACUACCGCAUACGUCCUACGGGAGAAAGUGGGGGAUCUUCGGACCUCACGCUAUCAUACGAGCCUAAGUCGGAUUAGUUAGUUGGUGGGGUAAAGGCCUACCAAGGCGACGAUCUGUAGCGGGUCUGGGAGGAUGAGCCGCCACACUGGGACUGAGACACGGCCCAGACUCCUACGGGAGGGAGCAGUGGGGAAUAUUGGACAAUGGGAGCAACCCUGAUCCAGCGAUGCCGCGUGGGUGAAGAAGGCCUUCGGGUUGUAAAGCCCUUUAGGUUGGGACGAAGAGUGGUAGGUUAAUACCCUGCUGCUUUGACGGUACCGACAGAAUAAGCACCGGCAAACUCUGUGCCAGCAGCCGCCGUAA